GAUGGAUAGAUGUGAAAAAGGAAAGUUAGUGUAUGACUCAUGUUGGAUGGAAUUAUCAAUAUUACAAACGGUUGCAAAACACUUUCAAAGUUAUGCAUUUAUAUUUAUUUUUCACAAUUAUAUCAAGUAAAAACAUCUUUUGCUAAGUUUUUUUGGCAGAGUCCGUGCAAACAUGCCUUCGAUUUAGAUUGUGUCACGAGUGGUUCUCUCUGCUUACUGUAAGUGUAAUUACAGAAAGAAAGAGGCAAUGUAUUAAGAAUGUAUCCAGUGCUACUUCAAACAAGAGUUUACUCUAACUACUACCAUGUCAUGGGAGAUGAAAAUUCACCAAAUCGCCUUGACUUUGUAUUUACAUAUACUAUCACACUCUGUAGAGUUUCACAUUCUCAAGGAUUUGAUUCCUUUGUGAUUCAAAUAUGUUUGGUAUAUUAACUAAUUAGUACUGUUGGAUAUCCUUGCUCACGUAUAAUUAUGUUGUUGAGUGAGGCAAGUGACCAAGAAAAACAAUCAAAUUCCAGAAACAGAACAAGAAGGAGCAAAACCAUGAAAAAGGAAAAAUCAUUCAAAUUCCAGAAACAUAACAAGGAGGAGGAGGCCAAACCAUGAAAAAUGAUUGAUUUCAGAUUCUCUAAUUUUCAAGACUUAAGGAAAUAACAAAUGGUAAUGUCUGGGCACAGAAGAGUAGAUAUGUAGGAAAUUUGAUGCUCUCCAUAGUACAUUAGAUAGUUCAGAUGUGUUGGUUGACACAUUAAUAGUAAUGUCUGUAAAUGCAGAUUGUUUCCAACAACUUUGAGCAUUCUCCCUUUCUUACUUUUUGAUUAUUUCGUUUGGGUGUAAAUUUGAGUCAAUAUUUUAUGUACUCUACCUUAUCAAUGAUUUUGGAGAUGCU